rnacentral:tRNA from 1 species
GCGUCGCUAGCUCAAUCGGAUAGAGCGAUUCCCUUCUAAGGAAGCGGUUCCGGGUUCGAGUCCCGGGCGACGCA